CGGUAAUACGUAGGUGGCAAGCGUUGUCCGGAAUUAUUGGGCGUAAAGGGCUCGCAGGCGGUUUCUUAAGUCUGAUGUGAAAGCCCCCGGCUCAACCGGGGAGGGUCAUUGGAAACUGGGAAACUUGAGUGCAGAAGAGGAGAGUGGAAUUCCACGUGUAGCGGUGAAAUGCGUAGAGAUGUGGAGGAACACCAGUGGCGAAGGCGACUCUCUGGUCUGUAACUGACGCUGAGGAGCGAAAGCGUGGGGAGCGAACAGGAUUAGAUACCCUGGUAGUCCACGCCGUAAACGAUGAGUGCUAAGUGUUAGGGGGUUUCCGCCCCUUAGUGCUGCAGCUAACGCAUUAAGCACUCCGCCUGGGGAGUACGGUCGCAAGACUGAAACUCAAAGGAAUUGACGGGGGCCCGCACAAGCGGUGGAGCAUGUGGUUUAAUUCGAAGCAACGCGAAGAACCUUACCAGGUCUUGACAUCCUCUGACAACCCUAGAGAUAGGGCUUUCCCUUCGGGGACAGAGUGACAGGUGGUGCAUGGUUGUCGUCAGCUCGUGUCGUGAGAUGUUGGGUUAAGUCCCGCAACGAGCGCAACCCUUGAUCUUAGUUGCCAGCAUUUAGUUGGGCACUCUAAGGUGACUGCCGGUGACAAACCGGAGGAAGGUGGGGAUGACGUCAAAUCAUCAUGCCCCUUAUGACCUGGGCUACACACGUGCUACAAUGGACAGAACAAAGGGCUGCGAGACCGCAAGGUUUAGCCAAUCCCAUAAAUCUGUUCUCAGUUCGGAUCGCAGUCUGCAACUCGACUGCGUGAAGCUGGAAUCGCUA
rnacentral:rRNA from 1 species